rnacentral:lncRNA from 1 species
CGUUAACUUAUCAUACAACAAUCACAUAUCUAACUUUAUGAGACUAGAUUUUGUUUUUCAAAUUGAGUCAGUACCCAAAAAUUCGAAAGUGGAAGAUGUUUGUCACAAAGCCACAUGAUGAUUUAACAAAAACUUUUAAAUCCCCCUUGACAUAUUUAACAAUUUACUAUGUAUAGAGACUUGGCAAGGUGCAACAAUAUUAACUAUUAUACAAAAUAUUAGUGCAAUGAAUACUCAGAAAAGCAAAAUAGUUGUCUUCCAUUCUCAAUCUCAACAGCUCAAAUUAAUUCAAAAGCUCCCCAAAUUGAUGGAAAAAAAAGCAUAUUCCAAAUUAUUGUUCCAACUAUUGCAUUAUCAACUGAGCUAUUCAUUCCCCUCAAAAAAAUCAAUUUCGACUAUAAUUCUACCCAUAUUUCUUGAUAAUCAGUUCCAAACUCGAGCACCAAAAGAUGACUAUGACAAAUUCACACAGUCGACCUCAAAUUUAUUGGUGUUGGACACGUUGCUCGUAGCCUCGUACAUUCACGAGAACUAUUCAUGGUGGCUGUGGAGCUAGUAAGGUAGUUUUAUUGUUUCAUUUGUUAUUAUUAUUG